rnacentral:lncRNA from 1 species
CAUUUUUUGGAUAAAAUUAAUGCGAUAAGGUGUUGGCUAACUCUAAUACCAUAUUAAAUUUGGAUUUAUUCUGAACUUUCAAUUUAAAACCAAUUUACGGUAUAACUAGAAUAGUAAAUCUCUUAUAUAUCAUUCAUGUGUCAUCAAAAUUUUCAGUGUAACAUAUUUUCUUCAAUACGAAUUCAAUGAUCGAUUGCCAGAUUACGAUUAUAUAUAGUAAAUAGAAAUUGUAAUUCAGCAAUCGAUCUUGAGCUCGAUUUUUCAAAAAUUUAUUGUGGGUUUAAACCCUUUAAAAAAUCUUGUGUGGUUUCAACUUUGAAUGGAAAUGAAUGUGUAAGAAAAGUCUCAUACAAUUUAUUUAUGUGUCCACAAAAGCAUGUGGUGGAAGGUGGAAUAUACAAAGCUUAAGCUUUUGCCCCAACAUUUGAUCUCUUGAUGAACUAUUUUACUCACACAAAGGAAUAGGAUGAAACAUUUUUAGAUAACGACACCUAUAGACUAACUAUAACACUAUUUGGAAUGCAUUCAUUGUACAUUUUUUUGAAAAGACAUUCAUUG